rnacentral:rRNA from 1 species
GACGAACGCUGGCGGCGUGCUUAACACAUGCAAGUCGAACGAAGAGAGAUGGAAGCUUGCUUCUAUCAAUCUUAGUGGCGCACGGGUGAGUAACGCGUAAUCAACCUGCCCUUAAGAGGGGGACAACAGUUGGAAACGACUGCUAAUACCGCAUACGAUCUAAUCUCGGCAUCGAGGAUAGAUGAACGGUGGCCUCUACAUGUAAGCAAUCACUGAAGCAGGGGUUUGCGUCUGAUUAGCUAGUUGGUGGGGUAACGGCCCACCAAGGCGAUGAUCAGUAGCCCGUCUGAGAGGAUGAACGGCCACAUUGGGACUGAGACACGGCCCAGACUCCUACGGGAGGCAGCAGUGGGGAAUCUUCCGCAAUGGACGAAAGUCUGACGGAGCAACGCCGCGUGAGGGAUGACGGCCUUCGGGUUGUAAAGCUCUGUUAAUCGGGACGAAAGGCCUUCUUGCGAAUAGUGAGAAGGAUUGACGGUACCGGAAUAGAAAGCCACGGCUAACUACGUG